ensembl:lncRNA
GGGAGGAGGAGGGGGUGACAGAGGACGAGAUGGUCAGGUGGCUUCGCCGACUCGAUGGACAUGAGUUUGAGUAAGCCCCGGGAGGUGGUGACGGACAGGGAAGCCUGGCGUGCAGGGCUGCAAAGAGUCGGACACAUCUGAGCAACUGCAUGAUGACAACAGCAACAGAUGAAGGAAAGGAGAUGGAAUCAGAUAUCGAGAAUCAUUUCUUCAUCUUAGAUCAUCUGAACUUUGUCGGAGGUAUUGAUAUCAAAAGCAGAGAGAGAAAAGUCAAACAAAACGAGGUGCUAGAGUCGUGACUGGAAAGAUCACAGAGGUUCCUGGAUUUUUCUUAAGAAAAAAUGUAAAUCCUCUAUGGAAAAAUAUAUCCUCC